AGUGCGCUUUGGUAUUACGGACA
rnacentral:siRNA from 1 species